GUCACGGAGUAAGCUCUGAAAAUGUGGUCUCCCAGGCCUGGCCCCCAGUGACCACACACCCACAUGCUCCCAGGAAGAGUAAGAAAAAAUGGAUAGACCGUGACGAUGCUGAAACUGUGGUGACUCUUCUUUAGGUGUACCGGAAGAGUCAACAGAAAAGAAAAUGCCUGUGGAUAUGUCCCUGGGAUAUGUCACACUACCGCUCUGCAUUAAAGAUGAAGGACUGACGGGCAGCCACUUCCAGGUAGAGGAUUGAUCCGCCCGUCAUAUUCCUAUCCUCACCAGUCAAGAAAGCCCCGUGUGAUGUGCUGGCUGAGCUCCAACCGGGGAUCGACCGUCUUCGCUGACCUUGACGGCAGACAAAAUACUCGACACAUGUAGGCUAUCUGGAUCUCCUUUUGUUUGGGUAUCUAGGGCGUACCCAUUUUAUAUCGAAUAGUUUUCCUUCCAUCGAUCUGUCUACCUAAUAUGUAUUUGUUGUUUAUCAGCUUGAUAUUGCAUUGCACCACCACCUUUCCCCCUUUUUUCCUCCCAUCAACUACAUUUACAUUUACUCGUGAUUAGAGAACAUUGCAGGAGAAAAAAAAAAUUAGGGUGUAGAUUUUUGUGACAGCGACUUGUUCUCUGCUGAUGCACAAGUUUCAUUCAUUAUUUAUAUGAGGUAUGUUUCUUUGUUUUAAAUGGAAUAUUUAUCUACUGCUCUUAUUUAUGUAUAUAUUUUCCCUUCACGUAAUUUUUGAUGAAAGCCACAUUAAUACAUACCGCGUUGCAGAGGACGUGCAGGCUAGUUUUGGAGAGACAGGAAAAAAAAAAAAAAAAACAAUGCAAAGGUGAGCUUGGAUGGAAGGAGAAAAGUAUUUUGCUUGACAAUGAAAUUUUCAUCCAAUAAAAACUAGUUCUGUCUUCAUCGAUACCAGCCUUUGGUGGAACCCUCGCACGACAGAGUGGAACGUCUCUCCUUGGAAUUUCAUGACUGACUGACUUAUAUGAGUUUUUUUUUCUAUCUUAUUGCUUUUUGACGACAACAAAGAUCGUAACCAUGUAGAAAAAAAAAUAAAAGACAUUGGCAAGAUCCUCAA